rnacentral:rRNA from 1 species
GACGAACGCUGGCGGCGUGCUUAACACAUGCAAGUCGAACGGAAAGGCCCUGCUUUUGUGGGGUGCUCGAGUGGCGAACGGGUGAGUAACACGUGAGUAACCUGCCCUUGACUUUGGGAUAACUUCAGGAAACUGGGGCUAAUACCGGAUAGGAGCUCCUGCUGCAUGGUGGGGGCUGGAAAGUUUCGGCGGUUGGGGAUGGACUCGCGGCUUAUCAGCUUGUUGGUGGGGUAGUGGCUUACCAAGGCUUUGACGGGUAGCCGGCCUGCGAGGGUGACCGGCCACGUUGGGACGGGGAUACGGCCCAGACUCCUACGGGAGGCAGCAGUGGGGAAUAUUGCACAAUGGGCGGAAGCCUGAUGCAGCAACGCCGCGUGCGGGAUGACGGCCUUCGGGUUGUAAACCGCUUUCGCCUGUGACGAAGCGUGAGUGACGGUAAUGGGUAAAGAAGCACCGGCUAACUACGUG